UACGGGAGGCAGCAGUGGGGAAUAUUGGACAAUGGGCGAAAGCCUGAUCCAGCAAUACCGCGUGUGUGAAGAAGGCCUGAGGGUUGUAAAGCACUUUCAAUUGGGAGGAAAACAGGCAGGUCAAUAUCCU
rnacentral:rRNA from 1 species